rnacentral:lncRNA from 1 species
UUGCAUUGGAUUAGGGCAGUGCAAGAGAAAUCGAAUGCCCCAAAGAUGCCAUGAGGUGCUCGGAAAUGGUCAAAAUAGCGGAAUAAGAGGAUCGCAUUAUAGCUCCGGUAAAUUUACCAAAAGUGAAAAUAAUGUAGUUUAAUGUUUGAUAUUAUGGAUGACUGGCUACGUACAUACCACUUCGUUUUUGUAGGCUGCUCUUCCCUCGUGCCUAUUUCGCUUUAGGGGUUGGUUCCUAACAAGUACAAGACCCAAAAGGCCACAUAUAUAUAAAGCACCGGAGCCAGUCAACUGUAAAUCCCUCUGGAACUGCCUCCAUGUUCCAGGUUCACCUUGCAAAUCCCAAUCUUGAACAGCUCCACAGUAGUAAAGAUUGUCCUCGGAUUGCAGAAACUAGAGUGGCAACAGAUAUAAAAAAACAGACAAGAAAAACCCACCAUGAAAAUUGAAAAGCCACUCCUUCCAUGAUAGUCUGAUCCAGCAAUCAGAAAAACAAGUGGUACAGCUGUAUUUAUGCCCUCUUUAAUCUCCUAGGUAAGUGGCUUAAAAGUUGUAAGCCACUGGAGGAGGAACUAAACUGAUCAUCGCAGAAAAUAGGGCUCGCAAUGAUGAAUCCGGUUUUCUCCACCUUAGACUCGGUUAUUAGGCUAUUAACUCGAGAAGAAAGAGUUGGGAAGGCUACUGUUGAUGCGAAGUAGACGCAACUAGACAAAACGCUAGGAGAGCAUAGAGUCCACACUAAUACAAUACAGUGAGCAAGUUCUUUCGGGUUUGACACAGGUUCUCUAUUUUCUUCUGCAACUCAUCAACCGCUCUGUGCUUGUCUACAUCCUAUUACAGUCGCACUCUUUUCUU